rnacentral:rRNA from 1 species
UAAUACGUAGGGGGCAAGCGUUGUCCGGAUUUAUUGGGCGUAAAGAGCGUGUAGGCGGCUGGGUAGGUCCGUUGUGAAAACUCGAGGCUCAACCUCGAGACGCCGAUGGAAACCAUCCAGCUAGAGUCCGGAAGAGGAGAGUGGAAUUCCUGGUGUAGCGGUGAAAUGCGCAGAUAUCAGGA